rnacentral:rRNA from 1 species
GACGAACGCUGGCGGCGUGCCUAAUACAUGCAAGUAGAACGCAGUUGCGAACGGGUGAGUAACGCGUAGGUAACUGCCUCAUAGCGGGGGAUAACUAUUGGAAACGAUAGCAAAUACCGCAAACUGUGAGAUGGACCUGCGUUGUAUUAGCUAGUUGGUGAGGUAAAGGCUAACAAAGGCGACGAUACAUAGCAGACCUGAGAGGUUGAUCGGCCACAAGGGUACUGAGACACUGCCCAGAGUACUACGGGAUGCAGCAGUAGGGAAUCUUCGGCAAUGGACGGAAGUCUGACCGAGCAACGCCGCGUGAGUGAAGAAGGUUUUCGGAUCGUAAAGCUCUGUUGUGAGAGAAGCGGUAUCUAACCAGAAAGGGACGGCUAACUACGUGCCAGCCGCCGCGGUAAUAC